CCCCGAGUGAUGAAAUUGGUAGACAUCUAGGACUUAAAAUCCUAUGGAAUUUAAAAUCCGUACCGGUUCGAGUCCGGUCUCGGGGACCA
rnacentral:tRNA from 1 species